UUCCCGAUAAUCAGGCUAAAAAUUGUUACCUUGUAAACUUUUCCAAAGCCACCUUUCCCGAGUAGGUUGCAGUCUGAGAAAUUGUCCGUUGCAGUAACAACAUCUUCAAAACAAAUAUAUGGAAGUUCUAUACUUUCAUUCUCAAGUUCGUCCGAUUUGGAAUAUUUCGACAGUUGACCUGUAUAUUUGUUCUUAUUUUCCUUGAUUCGUCGUUUGCCUGCCAAAAAUAGGUUCAUGUCAAUAUUGUCUCUUACGAAUAACUCAUGAAAAUUGCACCCUGAGAAAGUAAAGCAAAUAUUGUUUUUACCUCUUGACUUGCAUAUCCACACAAGGCUGAUGCAUGUGAGUAUCAGAAUACCAGCAAUUACUGGGAGUACAAUCUUCAGUACAUUACUCUCUUUGUCAACUACAAAAAGGCAGAAAUAUAACCCAGGAGUAGAACGAUGCUUUCAAAAUUUAACAUAGAUUUUUUUUGCAUGUUUUAUGUUUGUCGUGAUUAGUAUGUCAUCCUAACCGCAUCUAGCCAUUUCUGGGAGUACAAUCUUCAAUACAUUACUCUGUUUCUCAACUGCAGAAAGGCAGAAAUAUAGUCCAGCAAGAGAAUGAUGCUUUCAAAAUUUAACAUGCAUUUCUGGCGGUGUUGUGUUUUUCGUGAUUAGUAUGUCAUCCUAAGCCACGUCUAGCAUUCGACAUAAAAGGGGUAGAUCACACCAUACAAUCCAUAAGCGCAUAAGGAAAGGUGUAUACCUGUUGAACUGGCUAGACGAAGGUACAGGUUCUCGCCACUACCAUCACGAAACUUUCCUGUGUCGACANNNNNNNNNNNNNNNNNNNNNNNNNNNNNNNNNNNNNNNNNNNNNNNNNNNNNNNNNNNNNNNNNNNNNNNNNNNNNNNNNNNNNNNNNNNNNNNACACACAACAGACCUAACUGAACACAACGCAGAACUCCAUGAAGUGGACAGUUCUCCACAAUGGACGAGUCCACUAAUUCUCUUGCAUUUCCAUCUUUCCAUAAGCUCCAUGCCUAAACCAAUGAAAUAGUCAGUUUUACUUUGACGCGUCAACGGCGGGCUUACACCGGCCUGAACAUAAUGAAAUAGUCAGUUUAUAAUGAGUGUUUGAGUUGCAAGAAAUUCAGUGCAUAGUAGUGAACUUACAUAAGCUAUAAGGCUGGGAAAAUCCAUGAUGAGUUGGGUUGAACUGAUCUUUAACCCGCUUACAAUCUCCAACAUUAGAACGCCAAAACUAUAUGUGUCAGACUUGACAGAAAAGGAACCUUCCAUUGCAUAUUCCGGAGACAUGUAACCGCUGUUUGAAUCAUUCCAAAAACAUUGAUUAGUUAAGUGGAAGAAAAUUACAAUAUUAAGCCUUAGCUAGUGUAUAUAUUACUUACUAUGUCCCAACAACACGGAUAGUGUUCGCUUGUUGUUCAUUUCCUCCAAAGAUCCUUGCCAUACCAAAAUCUGAUAUUUUAGGGUUCAUUUCCGCAUCUAACAAGACAUUGCUUGCUUUGAGAUCUCUAUGGAUUAUUUUUAACCUUGAAUCUUGGUGGAGAUAAAGAAGCCCUCUAGCUAUCCCUUUAAUUACCUUGAAUCGGGUUGGCCAAUCAAGCACAAAAUUUCGUGUGGUAUCUUGCAAAUUGUUUGGAAAAUUGAAAGCAUUAACAACCAUCACGAAUUCAGUGAUUCUAAGAAUGUUGAUAUGUGACCAUAAGAGCAGAACAUACCAAAAAGGAAGGCAUCUAAGCUUUUGUUAGGUAAGUAUUCAUAUAGCAAUAACUUCUCAUCUUCAUGAGUGCAGUAACCAAGAAGCCUAACUAAGUUUCUAUGCUGCAAUUUGGCAAUCAGAACCACUUCAUUUCUGAACUCAUCAGCCCCUUGCCCAGAACUCUUACUAAGCCUUUUGACAGCAACUUCAUUGCCACCUUCUAACCGUCCCUACAUAAAGACUUCAUUUUCAAUGAAACAACAAAUGGCAACUUUUUCCCGAUAAUCAGGCUAAAAAUUGUUACCUUGUAAACUUUUCCAAAGCCACCUUUCCCGAGUAGGUUGCAGUCUGAGAAAUUGUCCGUUGCAGUAACAACAUCUUCAAAACAAAUAUAUGGAAGUUCUAUACUUUCAUUCUCAAGUUCGUCCGAUUUGGAAUAUUUCGACAGUUGACCUGUAUAUUUGUUCUUAUUUUCCUUGAUUCGUCG
rnacentral:lncRNA from 1 species